CCAAUUUUAGCGAACCUAAACCUUUGUGUUAUGGUCUCGCGAAAAAACUGUAUUUAAAACCCCACUCUUUAUAUAAUAAAUGAAUCUAUUUAUAUAAUAAUAAGUAAAGA
rnacentral:misc_RNA from 1 species